rnacentral:lncRNA from 1 species
GGGGUAUAUGCGUAAAUGAUGCAUGGAAAUUCUGUGAUUUAUGAAGGUUUUAUUUACCAUGAAUUAAUUUAAAAAAGAAAUUUAAUAAUAAUAAAAAGGGAAAAUUAACACAGCCCUCCAAUCAAAAAUCAACAUCAACAUCAUUAAUUAUUUUGUUAUUAAAGUGGAAAACAAAUGAACAAAUAAAGCAAGAGCAACAAUUUGCAGUGUCGCGGGUAAUUAUAUGUGGGUGAGAGGGAGUAUGGAAAUGAGAGAAACAAAUUAGAUAAGUAAGGAAGGUGGAUUAGAGUUAGGCACGUGUUUAUGAUUUUUUUCAAUUGAGGCUACAGUAGGGAUGAUAGAGAAAAGGUUGGAGUGAGAGAGAUGAAAGAGAAAGGGUUGAGAGGAAUGAGAGAGGUGAAUAAGGGUUUGGGGGUUUCUUGUCUUUUUAUUUUUGAGAAAGAAAAUUAUACAAAUACCCUUGACCUUAAACUUAGAAUCCAUAACAUAUGAGGGUAUUUUUGUCUAUUAAAACCGGG